rnacentral:rRNA from 1 species
AAGAUUAAGCCAUGCAUGUNUAAGUAUAAACAACUUUGUACUGUGAAACUGCGANNGGCUCAUUAAAUCAGUUAUAGUUUAUUUGAUUAUNCCUUACUACUUGGAUAACCGNGGUAAUUCUAGAGCUAAUACAUGCUAAAAAUCCCNACUUCUGGAAGGGAUGUNUUUAUUANAUAAAAAACCAAUGCGGGCAACCGCUUUUCUGGUGAUUCAUAAUAACUUUUCGAAUCGCAUGGCCUUGUGCUAGCGAUGUUUCAUUCAAAUUUCUGCCCUAUCAACUUUCGAUGGNAGGAUAGAGGCCUACCAUGGUUU